UACAGAGGUCUCAAGCGUUGUUCGGAUUCAUUGGGCGUAAAGGGUGCGUAGGCGGCGCGGUUAAGUCGGGUGUGAAAUCUCGGAGCUUAACUCCGAAACUGCAUUCGAUACUGCGGUGCUUGAGGAACUGGGAAAGGAGACUGGAAUUCAUGGUGUAGCAGUGAAAUGCGUAGAUAUCGAUAAGGAAGACCGUGGCGAAGGCGAGUCUCUGGACAGUUACUG
rnacentral:rRNA from 1 species